AUGGCCAUCUUCGACGAGUUCUACGUUGGGUCCAUCGACCUCGGACGCCUCAACUAUGGGAUCAUCUCGCUCAUCCCUAAGGUGCCUGGCGCUUCCGACAUCCGCCAGUUUCGUCCAAUCACGGUCACCAAUGUGAUUUUCCGGAUUCUAGCAAAAGGGUACGCCAAUAGGGUGACCCUUCUUGCUGACCAUUUAACCCACCCCAACCAGUCCGCCUUCAUUCAAGAGCGAUAUAUCCUGGAUGGGGUGCUUGUUCUACAUGAAGUCCUCCAUGAGGUUCGAUCUAAACACCUCAAUGCGGUAUUCCUGAAGAUCGAUUUCCAUAAGGCCUAUGACAUUGUUUGUUGGCCCUUCCUUCGGGAAGUUUUGCUCCGGAAGGGCUUUGACGACCGUUGGAUCACUAGAGUGAUGCAAAUGGUCUCCUACGAUCGCACUGCCGUGAACAUCAAUGGGGAGAUCGGCCCUUACCUCCCCACCCUUUGUGGGGUUAGACAAGGCGAUCCCUUCUCCCCUUUUCUUGUUCAAUAUGGUGGUGGACGCUCUUGCCGCCAUCCUGGAUAA
rnacentral:rRNA from 1 species